AACGAACGCUGGCGGCAUGCCUAACACAUGCAAGUCGAACGAGACCUUCGGGUCUAGUGGCGCACGGGUGCGUAACGCGUGGGAACCUGCCCUUAGGUUCGGAAUAACUCCCCGAAAGGUGUGCUAAUACCGGAUAAUGUCUUCGGACCAAAGAUUUAUCGCCUUUGGAUGGGCCCGCGUUGGAUUAGCUAGUUGGUAGGGUAAAAGCCUACCAAGGCGACGAUCCAUAGCUGGUCUGAGAGGAUGAUCAGCCACACUGGGACUGAGACACGGCCCAGACUCCUACGGGAGGCAGCAGUGGGGAAUAUUAGACGAUGGGCGAAAGCGUGAUCCAGCAAUGCCGCGUGAGUGAUGAAGGCCUUAGGAUUGUAAAGCUCUUUUACACGAGAUGAUAAUGACAGUACCGGGAGAAUAAGCUCCGGCUAACUACGUG
rnacentral:rRNA from 1 species